rnacentral:tRNA from 3 species
CGGGACUGGCGGGGCUCGAACCCGC